ACAAUCUUAGUCUCUAGCUUCGUGUCAUUGAAAGUUUGAUACUUUUGUCGCUUAACUUCUAUUUCUUGUUAGAGAUUGGUUUAGUGCUUAGUCUGAGAGAAUUUCAAGCUCUUGUAUUUCUCUUAACUUCUAGAAGAUCAUAUUGGUGUUGACAUAGUAGAUAUGGAAGCUUAAAGUUCAAUUCUUUUGGAUACAGAUUCGUCUCUUUUAUAAAAGGUCAUUUAUCGGAUUAAGCUACCAGGACCUGCAAUACUAGGAGAGUUCUGUUGCCUGUUAACAAGAGAGGACUGUUACAUUCCCCAAAACCUGAUCUCUGUCAGAAAGUAUCAAGCUUUGAGCUUGAUGAUUCUCUAGUUCAUUGUGUUCUUCCAAGAUUUGAGGUAGAAGAUGUAGUAGUUCAAAGAGAGGAAGUUCGCAGAGAAUGUGGUAAAGGUUUCACUUCUUCUAAAGCUCUUUGUGGUCACAUGGCUUGUCACUUUGAGAGAGAGAAGAGGGUGUCAUGUUCUCAUUUUUUUCAGGUCAAGAAGAGUGUAAAGUCGUUAGUCAUCAGUCAUGAACUUGUGUAGGAAUCACUUGUGCAAUGCUUACGUACUAACUCUUGUAAUUUAAGAACUCUAAUUAAGAAACUCCCAUUGGACUGCUCAAAAUGGAAGUUUCUUAACCAGAAUUCUUAACCCCACUUAAGUACAUUUAUAAUAUUAAAUAAUCAUAAAGAAACCUACUUAAGGAUCA